AUUUCUGCUCGGGGCCCAACUCCUCUGCUCCUGCGUGAGUUACUAGUUGAGCCCCAGCGAGCUGGAAUAAAGCCUCUUGCGGUUUGCAUCAAGAGACGUCUCCUGCGGUUGAUUGGGGUCGCCGUCGAUCUGUGGGAAAGAAAAGAAUCCAGGCUAGGCCAGUAACCAGGAGCGUCACCGCCUGGCAUGCUCAGCAGGAUGGCCGAGUAAUGCCUGUUAAGUUCGUGACGCAGAAAAAGAGAAUCGAGCCUGUCAGAAAAGGGAAAAGAAAAGGUUUUAAUCCAUGUUCUUGGGCGAGCCCCACGAGCCCGAGACAGGGCCAGUGAGUUUGAGCCAGGGGUGGGCAAACUUUUUGACUCGAGGGCCACAAUGCGUUCUUAAACUGGACCGGAGGGCCAGAACAAAAGCAUGGA